rnacentral:rRNA from 1 species
GGGUUGUGAGGUUAAGCGACUAAGCGUACACGGUGGAUGCCCUGGCAGUCAGAGGCGAUGAAGGACGUGCUAAUCUGCGAUAAGCGUCGGUAAGGUGAUAUGAACCGUUAUAACCGGCGAUUUCCGAAUGGGGAAACCCAGUGUGUUUCGACACACUAUCAUUAACUGAAUCCAUAGGUUAAUGAGGCGAACCGGGGGAACUGAAACAUCUAAGUACCCCGAGGAAAAGAAAUCAACCGAGAUUCCCCAGUAGCGGCGAGCGAACGGGGAGGAGCCCAGAGCCUGAAUCAGUGUGUGUGUUAGUGGAAGCGUCUGGAAAGGCGCGCGAUACAGGGUGACAGCCCCGUACACAAAAAUGCACAUGCUGUGAGCUCGAUGAGUAGGGCGGGACACGUGGUAUCCUGUCUGAAUAUGGGGGGACCAUCCUCCAAGGCUAAAUACUCCUGACUGACCGAUAGUGAACCAGUACCGUGAGGGAAAGGCGAAAAGAACCCCGGCGAGGGGAGUGAAAAAGAACCUGAAACCGUGUACGUACAAGCAGUGGGAGCACAGAGCAAUCUGUGUGACUGCGUACCUUUUGUAUAAUGGGUCAGCGACUUAUAUUCUGUAGCAAGGUUAACCGAAUAGGGGAGCCGAAGGGAAACCGAGUCUUAACUGGGCGUUAAGUUGCAGGGUAUAGACCCGAAACCCGGUGAUCUAGCCAUGGGCAGGUUGAAGGUUGGGUAACACUAACUGGAGGACCGAACCGACUAAUGUUGAAAAAUUAGCGGAUGACUUGUGGCUGGGGGUGAAAGGCCAAUCAAACCGGGAGAUAGCUGGUUCUCCCCGAAAGCUAUUUAGGUAGCGCCUCGUGAAUUCAUCUCCGGGGGUAGAGCACUGUUUCGGCAAGGGGGUCAUCCCGACUUACCAACCCGAUGCAAACUGCGAAUACCGGAGAAUGUUAUCACGGGAGACACACGGCGGGUGCUAACGUCCGUCGUGAAGAGGGAAACAACCCAGACCGCCAGCUAAGGUCCCAAAGUCAUGGUUAAGUGGGAAACGAUGUGGGAAGGCCCAGACAGCCAGGAUGUUGGCUUAGAAGCAGCCAUCAUUUAAAGAAAGCGUAAUAGCUCACUGGUCGAGUCGGCCUGCGCGGAAGAUGUAACGGGGCUAAACCAUGCACCGAAGCUGCGGCAGCGACACUGUGUGUUGUUGGGUAGGGGAGCGUUCUGUAAGCCUGUGAAGGUGUGCUGUGAGGCAUGCUGGAGGUAUCAGAAGUGCGAAUGCUGACAUAAGUAACGAUAAAGCGGGUGAAAAGCCCGCUCGCCGGAAGACCAAGGGUUCCUGUCCAACGUUAAUCGGGGCAGGGUGAGUCGACCCCUAAGGCGAGGCCGAAAGGCGUAGUCGAUGGGAAACAGGUUAAUAUUCCUGUACUUGGUGUUACUGCGAAGGGGGGACGGAGAAGGCUAUGUUGGCCGGGCGACGGUUGUCCCGGUUUAAGCGUGUAGGCUGGUUUUCCAGGCAAAUCCGGAAAAUCAAGGCUGAGGCGUGAUGACGAGGCACUACGGUGCUGAAGCAACAAAUGCCCUGCUUCCAGGAAAAGCCUCUAAGCAUCAGGUAACAUCAAAUCGUACCCCAAACCGACACAGGUGGUCAGGUAGAGAAUACCAAGGCGCUUGAGAGAACUCGGGUGAAGGAACUAGGCAAAAUGGUGCCGUAACUUCGGGAGAAGGCACGCUGAUAUGUAGGUGAAGUCCCUCGCGGAUGGAGCUGAAAUCAGUCGAAGAUACCAGCUGGCUGCAACUGUUUAUUAAAAACACAGCACUGUGCAAACACGAAAGUGGACGUAUACGGUGUGACGCCUGCCCGGUGCCGGAAGGUUAAUUGAUGGGGUCAGCGCAAGCGAAGCUCUUGAUCGAAGCCCCGGUAAACGGCGGCCGUAACUAUAACGGUCCUAAGGUAGCGAAAUUCCUUGUCGGGUAAGUUCCGACCUGCACGAAUGGCGUAAUGAUGGCCAGGCUGUCUCCACCCGAGACUCAGUGAAAUUGAACUCGCUGUGAAGAUGCAGUGUACCCGCGGCAAGACGGAAAGACCCCGUGAACCUUUACUAUAGCUUGACACUGAACAUUGAGCCUUGAUGUGUAGGAUAGGUGGGAGGCUUUGAAGUGUGGACGCCAGUCUGCAUGGAGCCGACCUUGAAAUACCACCCUUUAAUGUUUGAUGUUCUAACGUGGACCCGUGAUCCGGGUUGCGGACAGUGUCUGGUGGGUAGUUUGACUGGGGCGGUCUCCUCCUAAAGAGUAACGGAGGAGCACGAAGGUUGGCUAAUCCUGGUCGGACAUCAGGAGGUUAGUGCAAUGGCAUAAGCCAGCUUGACUGCGAGCGUGACGGCGCGAGCAGGUGCGAAAGCAGGUCAUAGUGAUCCGGUGGUUCUGAAUGGAAGGGCCAUCGCUCAACGGAUAAAAGGUACUCCGGGGAUAACAGGCUGAUACCGCCCAAGAGUUCAUAUCGACGGCGGUGUUUGGCACCUCGAUGUCGGCUCAUCACAUCCUGGGGCUGAAGUAGGUCCCAAGGGUAUGGCUGUUCGCCAUUUAAAGUGGUACGCGAGCUGGGUUUAGAACGUCGUGAGACAGUUCGGUCCCUAUCUGCCGUGGGCGCUGGAGAACUGAGGGGGGCUGCUCCUAGUACGAGAGGACCGGAGUGGACGCAUCACUGGUGUUCGGGUUGUCAUGCCAAUGGCACUGCCCGGUAGCUAAAUGCGGAAGAGAUAAGUGCUGAAAGCAUCUAAGCACGAAACUUGCCCCGAGAUGAGUUCUCCCUGACCCUUUAAGGGUCCUGAAGGAACGUUGAAGACGACGACGUUGAUAGGCCGGGUGUGUAAGCGCAGCGAUGCGUUGAGCUAACCGGUACUAAUGAACCGUGAGGCUUAACCUUACAACGCCGAAGGUGUUU